rnacentral:rRNA from 1 species
UUAAGCGACUAAGCGUACACGGUGGAUGCCCUGGCAGUCAGAGGCGAUGAAGGACGUGCUAAUCUGCGAUAAGCGUCGGUAAGGUGAUAUGAACCGUUAUAACCGGCGAUUUCCGAAUGGGGAAACCCAGUGUGAUUCGUCACACUAUCAUUAACUGAAUCCAUAGGUUAAUGAGGCGAACCGGGGGAACUGAAACAUCUAAGUACCCCGAGGAAAAGAAAUCAACCGAGAUUCCCCCAGUAGCGGCGAGCGAACGGGGAGCAGCCCAGAGCCUGAAUCAGUGUGUGUGUUAGUGGAAGCGUCUGGAAAGGCGCGCGAUACAGGGUGACAGCCCCGUACACAAAAAUGCACAUGCUGUGAGCUCGAUGAGUAGGGCGGGACACGUGGUAUCCUGUCUGAAUAUGGGGGGACCAUCCUCCAAGGCUAAAUACUCCUGACUGACCGAUAGUGAACCAGUACCGUGAGGGAAAGGCGAAAAGAACCCCGGCGAGGGGAGUGAAAAAGAACCUGAAACCGUGUACGUACAAGCAGUGGGAGCACAGAGCAAUCUGUGUGACUGCGUACCUUUUGUAUAAUGGGUCAGCGACUUAUAUUCUGUAGCAAGGUUAACCGAAUAGGGGAGCCGAAGGGAAACCGAGUCUUAACUGGGCGUUAAGUUGCAGGGUAUAGACCCGAAACCCGGUGAUCUAGCCAUGGGCAGGUUGAAGGUUGGGUAACACUAACUGGAGGACCGAACCGACUAAUGUUGAAAAAUUAGCGGAUGACUUGUGGCUGGGGGUGAAAGGCCAAUCAAACCGGGAGAUAGCUGGUUCUCCCCGAAAGCUAUUUAGGUAGCGCCUCGUGAAUUCAUCUCCGGGGGUAGAGCACUGUUUCGGCAAGGGGGUCAUCCCGACUUACCAACCCGAUGCAAACUGCGAAUACCGGAGAAUGUUAUCACGGGAGACACACGGCGGGUGCUAACGUCCGUCGUGAAGAGGGAAACAACCCAGACCGCCAGCUAAGGUCCCAAAGUCAUGGUUAAGUGGGAAACGAUGUGGGAAGGCCCAGACAGCCAGGAUGUUGGCUUAGAAGCAGCCAUCAUUUAAAGAAAGCGUAAUAGCUCACUGGUCGAGUCGGCCUGCGCGGAAGAUGUAACGGGGCUAAACCAUGCACCGAAGCUGCGGCAGCGACACUAUGUGUUGUUGGGUAGGGGAGCGUUCUGUAAGCCUGUGAAGGUGUACUGUGAGGUAUGCUGGAGGUAUCAGAAGUGCGAAUGCUGACAUAAGUAACGAUAAAGCGGGUGAAAAGCCCGCUCGCCGGAAGACCAAGGGUUCCUGUCCAACGUUAAUCGGGGCAGGGUGAGUCGACCCCUAAGGCGAGGCCGAAAGGCGUAGUCGAUGGGAAACAGGUUAAUAUUCCUGUACUUGGUGUUACUGCGAAGGGGGGACGGAGAAGGCUAUGUUGGCCGGGCGACGGUUGUCCCGGUUUAAGCGUGUAGGCUGGUUUUCCAGGCAAAUCCGGAAAAUCAAGGCUGAGGCGUGAUGACGAGGCACUACGGUGCUGAAGCAACAAAUGCCCUGCUUCCAGGAAAAGCCUCUAAGCAUCAGGUAACAUCAAAUCGUACCCCAAACCGACACAGGUGGUCAGGUAGAGAAUACCAAGGCGCUUGAGAGAACUCGGGUGAAGGAACUAGGCAAAAUGGUGCCGUAACUUCGGGAGAAGGCACGCUGAUAUGUAGGUGAAGUCCCUCGCGGAUGGAGCUGAAAUCAGUCGAAGAUACCAGCUGGCUGCAACUGUUUAUUAAAAACACAGCACUGUGCAAACACGAAAGUGGACGUAUACGGUGUGACGCCUGCCCGGUGCCGGAAGGUUAAUUGAUGGGGUCAGCGCAAGCGAAGCUCUUGAUCGAAGCCCCGGUAAACGGCGGCCGUAACUAUAACGGUCCUAAGGUAGCGAAAUUCCUUGUCGGGUAAGUUCCGACCUGCACGAAUGGCGUAAUGAUGGCCAGGCUGUCUCCACCCGAGACUCAGUGAAAUUGAACUCGCUGUGAAGAUGCAGUGUACCCGCGGCAAGACGGAAAGACCCCGUGAACCUUUACUAUAGCUUGACACUGAACAUUGAGCCUUGAUGUGUAGGAUAGGUGGGAGGCUUUGAAGUGUGGACGCCAGUCUGCAUGGAGCCGACCUUGAAAUACCACCCUUUAAUGUUUGAUGUUCUAACGUUGACCCGUGAUCCGGGUUGCGGACAGUGUCUGGUGGGUAGUUUGACUGGGGCGGUCUCCUCCUAAAGAGUAACGGAGGAGCACGAAGGUUGGCUAAUCCUGGUCGGACAUCAGGAGGUUAGUGCAAUGGCAUAAGCCAGCUUGACUGCGAGCGUGACGGCGCGAGCAGGUGCGAAAGCAGGUCAUAGUGAUCCGGUGGUUCUGAAUGGAAGGGCCAUCGCUCAACGGAUAAAAGGUACUCCGGGGAUAACAGGCUGAUACCGCCCAAGAGUUCAUAUCGACGGCGGUGUUUGGCACCUCGAUGUCGGCUCAUCACAUCCUGGGGCUGAAGUAGGUCCCAAGGGUAUGGCUGUUCGCCAUUUAAAGUGGUACGCGAGCUGGGUUUAGAACGUCGUGAGACAGUUCGGUCCCUAUCUGCCGUGGGCGCUGGAGAAUUGAGGGGGGCUGCUCCUAGUACGAGAGGACCGGAGUGGACGCAUCACUGGUGUUCGGGUUGUCAUGCCAAUGGCACUGCCCGGUAGCUAAAUGCGGAAGAGAUAAGUGCUGAAAGCAUCUAAGCACGAAACUUGCCCCGAGAUGAGUUCUCCCUGACCCUUUAAGGGUCCUGAAGGAACGUUGAAGACGACGACGUUGAUAGGCCGGGUGUGUAAGCGCAGCGAUGCGUUGAGCUAACCGGUACUAAUGAACCGUGAGGCUUAACCUU